rnacentral:rRNA from 1 species
AGUGAACGCUGGCGGUAGGCCUAACACAUGCAAGUCGAACGGCACCCCAGUAAGAGCUUGCUCUUACGGGUGGCGAGUGGCGGACGGGUGAGGAAUACAUCGUAAUCUACUUUUUCGUGGGGGAUAACGUAGGGAAACUUACGCUAAUACCGCAUACGACCUACGGGUGAAAGCAGGUGAUCUUCGCAACUUGCGCGAUUGAAUGAGCCGAUGUCGGAUUAGCUAGUUGGCGGGGUUAAGGCCCACCAAGGCGACGAUCCGUAGCUGGUCUGCGAGAAUGAUGAGCCACACUGGAACUGAGAGACGGUUCGGACGUUUACGGGAGGAAGAUGUGGGGAAUAGUCGACAAUGAGCGCAAGCAUAGGCGAGGCAAAGCGCGGGUGUGAAAAAGACCUUCGAGUUGCAAAGCCGUAUUGUUGGGAGAGAAGAGCAGCAGGUUAAUAGUCAGCUGUUCUGCCAGUACCGAAAGUAUAAGCAAAGGCUAACUUCGUG